ACAUGGUUCAUUGUGCUCAAUGUGGUAUUAAUUGGGAUGAAAAAGAUGGUAUUCUCCUUAUUGAAGUUGAUCGAGUUCUCAAGCCUGGAGGUUACUUUGUUUUAACCUCACCAAUAAGCAAGCCCCAUGGGAGUGCAUUGAACUCAAAGAGGAGAAACAGAGUGACACUGAUAGAAGAAUUAGCUGAAAAAAUAUGUUGGACUCUUCUAUCUCAACAGGAAGAGACUUUUGUCUGGCAGAAAACCGU
rnacentral:misc_RNA from 1 species